AAACUUUCAACAACGGAUCUCUUGGUUCUGGCAUCGAUGAAGAACGCAGCGAAAUNNNAUAAGUAAUGUGAAUUGCAGAAUUCAGUGAAUCAUCGAAUCUUUGAACGCACAUUGCGCCCCUUGGUAUUCCGAGGGGCAUGCCUGUUCGAGCGUCAUU
rnacentral:rRNA from 1 species